CCAAGCCUAGAUAUGCCUGAACUCUUCUAGGUUCCAAAAAGUUUUAACGAUAAAACUCCAUUUUGUGUCUCAGCAAAGCUUAGCCCCAAGUAGAGAGGAUGGCAAGGUUAGGCCAGAGAGGACUAAAGUAGCCUACUAAGACUGAAGACCUGUGAGUGGCCUACUGGUCUCAGUGGGAAGGGGUCUUUGCUUUGAGUGGUGGAAAAAUAUUACUAAGAUCAAAUACCAAUUCAGGAGGAGGGAGUCUAAUAGGUCUGUCGAAAUGUGUCUUCUACUCACCUUACCUCCACACAGUUGAGCACUGGACAGAACGAGAUGCUAGUCUUGGGGCAUACAUAAAAGUGCUUGAUGAACUCUGCAAAAUCCAGACCCAAGUGAAGGGAAGACUAUGGACAAUUCUGUCUUCAUCCCUAUAUUCCUGGCAACUCAUCAGGGUUCCUUAAUACAAGGGUUACCAGCUGGACCUACCAAGCCAUUUUCAAGACUUCCUGUGUUGCCUUUUUUCCCAUUAACAAGACAUACAACCUAGCUCCAAAGUCAAGCCUUUGGUCGAGUCAGACCAAAUCCUCUGUGACUUUCAAAUAAAUACAGAAAAUCCCACCAAAUCAACUGAAUGAUAUAUUUA